UNGCCUAAGACAAUGGAGCCAUAGAGCC
rnacentral:piRNA from 1 species